UACAGAGGGUGCAAGCGUUAAUCGGAAUUACUGGGCGAAGCGCGCGUAGGUGGUUUGUUAAGUUGGAUGUGAAAGCCCCGGGCUCAACCUGGGAACUGCAUCCAAAACUGGCAAGCUAGAGUACGGUAGAGGGUGGUGGAAUUUCCUGUGUAGCGGUGAAAUGCGUAGAUAUAGGAAGGAACACCAGUGGCGAAGGCGACCACCUGGACUGAUACUGACACUGAGGUGCGAAAGCGUGGGGAGCAAACAGGAUUAGAUACCCGGUGUA
rnacentral:rRNA from 1 species